UAUGCACGUCUUUAUGGCUUUUUCCCUACUAGCAUGUGCUUGCUUCAGCUAAAAGGAAAAAAAAAGAGCAAGAUAGAUGCAACAAGGACCCCCAAAUCAUAUAUUGCUACUCUACUGGCAGACGAACCCUCCUUGUUCCUUCCAGGGUCUCCACUUGAAUUUGUCAAAAGCGGAGAUGGACCUGCCGAUCUGCAUUCAUUCUAUGAAAGAGCACAACUGAGAUAGAAGAAUUUGUUGCUGAGCUGAAGUGGUACAUUAUUGAUUGGAACUUCAGUCUUUUAUAAGUUGACUGCAAGGCCGAAAUGGUGCGCUGCCCGAGUAUAGUCCAGGUAGAGACACUUUGUUCCUGGUGUACCAACAAAAUGCAUGACAUCACAUAUCACAUUUCCAUUUUGAUUGCAGUAAUCUUUAUCCUCCGAGUAAUUCUGCCAGAUUCUGAUCUGUGUAGGUGUUGUGCCAGGAAAUGAUUCUAAACUACCCAAGCUCAUUUCACCUAGGUCUAUUAAGCCAAGUAGUCUUUCAUUUCAUCAGAAUUUAAACAAAGGUUUUGUGGAUGCAAGGACUUUUCUUUGAAGGCUUAAUUAAAUACCAAUGAAAUGAAAGCUGGCUACUACUGUUAAAAGAUCAAAUGUCUCAUAGAUAGGACUUGGACUAUUCAAACAUAGCACCUGAGGCCCAUGCUUUACAGUGGAAAUAUAUAUGGAAUUCCUCAGCUUACAAUGCAAAACACAUACACUUUAAUAUGAAUAUGCGGGCUAAUGUUCACGGCAAUUCUACUUUAGGCCCAGUUUACUUUUAUAAAGCAUGUGCUAACCAGAAAGAUAUUAACCAAUACUUGCUAAAGAAAUUAACAGGCAUCAACUAACGUGACCAACAGUAUAACCAGCUUAUUAAAGAAAAACACGCAAACCACAUAUUUAAACCCAACCCAGAUAUAACUCAGUGAAACAUCCUGGAGUGUCAUUUUAAAGUGGAUAAUUUAAAAGCUGUGUUACAAAUGCAAAGUUUAUAAGAUUGUUAUGUUUUGGGGCUGUCUCUUUAAUUCAAGGUAAAAUGGAGGAAUAAAAGGGAUGUGACCUGCUCUGAAUUCUGCUCAACAAGAAGUCUGGGUGGCUUGGUUGCUAUGGGUACAAGAGGGGCUCAAGUCAUGAGACUUGCUGAGAAGGCAAAAGAUAUUCACACCUGCUGACAACGGCAAGAGGAUAUGUGCUGACUGUGCGCAGACUGUUAGUCUCCAAGUCGCAGAGUGUGUGUUAUGAAUGUCAGGUUUUAUAAACCGUUAUACUUUAAACUGUAUAUUUAAUUCCAAACUGGAAUGGAGUAGGGAGUCUAGAGGACAGCUUAUUAGCAUUUCUACCUGGAUACAAGGUCCAUGAUAUUCAUGUUGCCAUGGAGAUGGGCUUUGGGAACGGAAGGAUCCAUAGGAAGCUAUUGUAAUAUCAUGUUACAGGGUUUCCUAAGCUAUCACUGAACCUGAUGUACCCAAGUCAGUCAUUUGAGAGGUGGAGAGCAGGAGAUAGAGGCAGCUAGCCCUAUACUUGAAGCACAGAAAAUGUGAGCCUAUUGUUUACCACACAGAAUUCUGGUGGGAGCUUGCACUCAGAUUGAAGAAAUCAAAUUCCUGAGGAUUUAAAGAAGGUUGGAAGAUCCACAUAGCUUGGGCUAGGAGGAAGGAAUCUCCAGUUUAACCCUCACAGUGGAAGUCAGUUUUGGGAUUACAAGUUACCCAGCUGGAAAAGGACAAAGGAAGCAGACCAUCAGGAGCAAUGAAUAGCUUUGGACUGGUUCCGGGAGAAGAAAGAGUCCAUUUAAAUGAUAGUGUAAAGUAUAACCAUGGCAAGGGAUUUUUGUUUUAAUAAUUAAACGGGGAAACUUUUGUGUAGAUUAGAGUAUAUGACUAAAUGCUAAUUUUUGUAGGUGAAUGUUACCUUCAAAAUGUUUAUUGUAGUAAAAUUGUUUAUUAUAGUAAAAGGCUUAAAACUUGAAAUUUUGUCUUAUGAUCUUUUCAAUCGGUCACUGGAAUUCAAUUUUAAAAAGUUAUUGAUCUCUAUGGAGAGCAUAACAGCUGCAGUUCAUAAAAUUUUAAUUGGGGUUUCAGAGUGUUCCAAAACACAUCUCUCUUUCCAGGUCAUGUACCUCUACAAUCUGUUGGAUAUCGCUCAUCCAAAAUGAUUAAAUUAUUAAAUGUAGGUUAUGCAGUCUAGUGGUUGUUUAAGCAAUACAAUCAGAAUUUGGAUUUAUUACCUGGUAAGGAAACGAAAUUGAGAAAGUAUAAUGAAACUCCCUUGUCUGUAAUGUGAGUUCACAGAUUGCAGGAGUUCACAAUAAUUGCAGAUUCCUGUAAUUGUUGACUUUCUGACAUGUUAUUUUUAUUGUUGCAUACUAAUAAUAAUACAAAUAAAAAGCAUUUUUGAAAUGGGAA